UCACUCUUGACUUAAUGUAGUCCAUAAGUCAUUUGAAUAAUCAGUUACAUCGAUUCAUGUUUGCUCCAUUUCAACAUACUUGUAUGUAAAUAUCGAUUGGUCAAAAUUUGGAAUUAAGAUGCAAGAAUAGAAUAGGUAUUCAUAUGAAAUUGGAGAAAUUGUGUCAAAGCUGUUGAAGACAAAUUUAAUUAUGGGGCUAUUUUUUGGAGGAAAUCUUCUCCGGAUUUUCGCCUAAGCAACAGAAGGAGGCGGCGGAACGGGAGAGGGAGAGCUCUUCUUCCAUCUCGGUGCCGUGCAGCCGCCACCAAGCCGGGCGGUCGGAGGGGCCUCUGUGAGGAGGCAGACUCGUCCAAGUAAUGGUCACAGGGCGACCUGGGGGGGUCGAAGUUGCGCCGAACGCUACCGUCACUCUAGCAUGCCGUCACCGGGAGGAUGGGACGGCGCAUCGUCGACUCCAGUCCGCAUUACCGUCGUCGUUUUCGUCGCCAAACAUAAUGUUAAAGAGCAACCCGGUCGGCGAUGUAUCAUGUUCCGACUCAGCAGAACCAGCCGUUCUGACCCAGCGGGGUAUACCAGGAGAUUCGGCCCCCGGCCCGGAAAAAAAACAGAUCAUAUAUAUUAAAUAUUAAGUGUAUUAUUUAUCUAUCAGCCGUAGUAUAUAGAGUUUCUAUAUGUAGUCUAUAAAACUUGUAAUGUGUUCCUUUUAUAAAAGCUGUUAUCUAUAUAUUUAAAUUAUAAAAGUUAGGCUUCAUUUUAUCUUUCCUCAUGAUAGUCAUGUUUUAUUAUUCAUCACAUAUCUAUUUUUCAGAUAAGUAAAAUCGAUAGUAUACGUGUAAGUCACGCGCUGAUGAGACAUUUCUUCGAAAUGUGUCUGAUUAAUUGAAGAAACUCUAAUUUUGAGAUAUUACGUUUGUGUCAUUUAGUUUACCACAAAAUGUCAAAUUUCUUCUAUUUUUGCCUUUCAUAACUUCAUUAAUCUGUCUUCUCUCAAAUACCAGUUACUAAUGUAAGUACUCUUUGGGGUAAUUCGUUAUCUCUAGAUCUAUGUUACAAGUAGAUACUAGGUACAAUGAUACAUAGAUAGCUAGACAGAAAUCUACUGCAGUGUUUUUUUUUAUUACUGUCGAAGCAGACCUUUGUGGUAUGUUGUGUACAUACCGGACCCUAACCAAUGAUACAGCCGGACGCGUAGGUACAUCAAAACGCUUGACUUUUGCACAGGUCCGAAAGUCAUAUUGCCAGGGAACUUUGUUACUGGUGGUAGGACCUCUUGUGAGUCCGCACGGGUAGGUACCACCGCUCCGACUAUUUCUGCCGUGAAGCAGUAAUGCGUUUCGGUUUGAAGGGUGGAGCAGCCGUUGUAACUAUACUGAAACCUUAGAACUUAUAUCUCAAGGUGUGUGGCGCCUUUACGUUGUAGAUGUCUAUGGGUUCCAGUAACCGCUUAACACCAGGUGGGCUGUGAGCUCGUCCACCCAUCUAAGCAAUAAAAAUAAAAAAAACAAGUCCUUGUGCGAACUUUCUAUCUAUGUUUAUAAGGCAAGGUUUUGGUUUAAAGAAUUAUGACAGCUGGGAGCAAUAUUGUAAUAUCCGUGUCUGACGGAUGAAAUGAGGAACUCUCGUGAAGAUUUUGAAUUUUACUAAAACACUAAUAAAACUAAUAAUAAUUUACACUAAAACAUAAAAGCUUUAACCCUAAUCUAGACCCCACGCAAAUGAUAAUACGUUAGCCCUUAUCAGUUACAUGUUUACCAAAUUAUCAAUGGGAAAAGAAGCUUUAGAUAAGCCAAUCGAUUUUUUGAUGUACAUAAUUUAUACGGAGUACGAUGCAUUGGAUCGGGACGUUUUGUAACAAUUAUCGUAACGUUAUUUUUGUAAUAUGUAUGUAUCCUAAAUAAUAUGAUUUAUGACAUAAAUAGUAUUUUGAAUAUUGAAACAUAGAAAUAUUAAAACAUUUUUGAAUAUUGAAAUAUAAAAAAACAAAAAUAUAAAAAAAACAUAACAGUGCGUUUCCAAAGAUCUUUUUUGCCACGUACCAUCCGGCUUUGGAAUGAACUCCCCUCCACGGUGUUUUCCGAGCGCUAUGACAUGUCCUUCUUCAAACGAGGCUUGCGGAGAGUACUUUAUGGUAGGCAGCGGCUUGGCUCUGCCCCUGGCAUUGCUGACGUCCAUGAGCGACGGUAACCACUUACCAUCAGGUGGGCCGUACGCUCGUCUGCCUACAAAGGCAAUAAAAAAUAAAAAAAAUAAAAAUGGUGAAGCAAUAGCUUUAAAUGUUGUUUCUCUUUAUACAGCAACUCAAUUUGUGCUAUAGUUUAACUGGGCUUAACUUUAUUUGGAUGUGAAUAAAAUAAUACAUUAUAUGUAUACUAAUGCAUGUGAUUUUUUUUUCUUCUAAAAAGUAAUAAAAAUAACUAAAUAGAUUUAUCAGCUUCACAAAUUUCAACCUCUGUAUUAUUUAUUGGGCCUCGAUGUAAGGCAAAUGUUGUGUUCUUGGAUUAAAAAUUAACAUGGCGUUUUUUUUUAGUUGUUUCUCAUAAGUAAAAACGAACAUGACUUCACGCAUUCCGUUUAUCUUUAAAAAACAAACUGAAAUAAAUAAAUUUGUUUAUUGAUGAGGAAGAAAACACGAGAAUAGUAGGUAUAAAACGUUUAUUUCAUAUAAAUAUUAUGUAUAUAACAGAAUUUCUCUAAUUAGACUUUAUUACAUAAGCAAUUUUAUAUGAUAUAGUAAACAAUUUUACGUGCUUUAGAUAAGUCGCGCCACAUUCAACAAUAAUUUUUACUUACUGAUCAUUAAAUUUCUUACUAUAUUUGUACUACAACAAUAAAGUAGAAAGUCAACCGUAGUCUCAUUGUUUCCCGACAUCACAAUUUGAAGCCGUACGGGUAGGUUAUUGAACCCGCACUGGUAGGUACCACUACCCCGCCUACUUCUGCCGUGAAGUGGGAAUGUAUUUCAGUUUGAAGGGUCUGGGACAGCCGUUGUACUGAGACUUAUAACUCAUGUCUCAAGGUCAGUUGGCGGCAUUUACGUUGUUUUUAUCUUUUUUUAUUGCCUAGAUGGGUGGACGAGUUCACAGCCCACCUGGUGUUAAGUGGUUACUGGGGCCCAUAGGCAUCUACAACGUAAAUGCGCCACCCACCUUGAGAUAUGAGUUCUAAGGUCUCAGUAUAGUUAGUUACAACGGCUGCCCCACCCUUCAAACCGAAACGCAUUACUGCUUCACAGCAGAAAUAGGUGGGUUGGUGGUACCUACUCAUGCGGACUCACAAGAGGUCCUACCACCAGUUAAAAUGAGAGUAAAUGGGCAAAUAUCUACGGGUUCCCUCUGGUAACUACAUAACACUAGGCGGGCCGUGAUCUUGUCCACUUAUAAUAAGAGCAAGAAAAAAAACAUUAGCAAUAUAGAAGUAUUGCUUGAAAUCGAUUAAAGGCACUUUCCUUGUUUCACUACAAUUUUUAAAUCAAUUAUUUACCAAAUCGAUCAUAUUCAUUAAUAAUCGCUCAGUACAUUUGUACAUUGAAACAUGCAAUAUUAAACGAAGAACUAAAUGUUACUAAAUUAAAAUUGUUUAGUUUUGAAGGUUGAACAUUAAACCUAUUAACAAGUACGGGUCAAAUUGACCGUUUUCAAAUUUAUGUACUUUUUUAAACUAUAUAAGUACAUCAAAAUACCGUUGUGAAACUAUAAAACAAUUCGUAGAAUAUGCUUAAAAUAUUUGCUGCACUAUUUACUUAAGGUAUUUUUUUAAUCUUUUCCAAGAAAAAACACAUACAUGAUCUUUAUUGAAUAAUAAAAUCGACCGCUUUAUGAAUUUCGGGUCGAAGUUACUGAACGCAGUAGGAAGGAAUACGUAUACAAGAACUAUCGGUAGGUUUAGUGUUAAAAAACGUAAAGUGGUAAUAAAAUUA